GGGAAAGUAGCUCAACUGGCAGAGCAGCGGUGCGCACCAUAAAACAGGGAGAGCAAGAUUUUGGUUCGAAUCCAAACUUUUCCA
rnacentral:tRNA from 2 species